rnacentral:rRNA from 1 species
CUCGGCAACGGAUAUCUCGGCUCUCGCAUCGAUGAAGAACGUAGCGAAAUGCGAUACUUGGUGUGAAUUGCAGAAUCCCGUGAACCAUCGAGUCUUUGAACGCAAGUUGCGCCCGAAGCCUUCGGGCCGAGGGCACGCCUGCCUGGGCGUCACGCAUCGCGUCGCCCCUUCCCCCCCGCUC